GGGGCUGUGGCAUAGUGGGUAAAGCUACCGCCUACAAUGCCGGCAUCCCAUAUGGGCACAGGUUCAAGUCCUGGCUGCCCCA
rnacentral:tRNA from 1 species